ensembl:lncRNA
ACUACCUGUCAAAAGUUUGGAAUAAUUAUGUUUUUAAAGUCUCUUAUACUCAAAAACCUGCAUUUAUGUAAUUAAAGAGAUACUCCACCCCAAAAUGAAAAUUUUGUCAUUAAUCACUUACCCCCAUGUCGUUCCAAACCCGUAAAAUCUCUGUUCGUCUUAGAAACACAAUUUAAGAUAUUUUGGAUGAAAACUGGGAGGCCUGCCAUCAGACGUGCAAUCUGGUACCCAGGUUGCACGUCUGAUGGCAGAUGGAGUAUUCUGAUGACGACUUUCAUAUCUUUUAUGGACCUUGACACUGCUAUUUAUUUGGCAGUCUUUGGGCCAGUCACAGGCCUCCCGGUUUUCAUCUAAAAUAUCUUAAAUUGUGUUCCGAAGACGAACGAAUCUUUUGCGGUUUUGGAACGACAUGGGGGUAAGUGAUUAAUGACAAAAUUUUCAUUUUGGGGUGGAGUAUCCCUUUAAGCAGCAAAAUAAAUAAUAAUUCAACAUUGCAAAUAAUAGAUGCACAAAGUCAUCAUAUAUAUAAUUUUUUCUUUCUUUGAUGGAUCGUGUGACACUGAGGACUGAAGUAAUGGCAGUUAAAAUUUCAGCUUUGCAUAAAAGUAAUAAAUUACAUAUUAUAAUAUAUUCAAAUAAAAAAUUUUUUUUUAAUUGUAAUAAUAUUUCACAAUAUUUAUGUUUUUACUGUAUUUUUGAUCAAAUAAAUACAGCCUUGAUGGGCAUAAAAGACUUGUUUCAAAAACAUAAAAAAAUAUAACACCUAGUCCUAUUAUGCAAACAAAUUGUUUGACCACUAGUGUGUAUAUAAAUGAUGUAACCUGAUUAUAUAACAGUAUAUUUGAUCUAACAUGUUCUUUGUUUUGGUCUAGUCAUUAUGGAUAUCUCAGUCCAUGGGUACAGAGCUCCUGGUGGAUUGUGGCUCAGCUGCAGUUACAUCAUUUUCCACACCCGAGCUUGUCGCUCAGGAGAGCAUUCUCACUCCACUUUCAUCUGAGAACGGGACAUCUGUGGCUUUGGCCCAAGUGCAGCUGCCUCAUGUGCUGUUUAUAGAGCUGAAGGAAAUAGAGAAUCUCAGUUCACACAUGCAGUAUAAGGCCUUAAUCGUGUUGAAUCAUGUGAUAAGUGUAGACUUUGUGUAAAAGCAUAAAUUGCUGCGUCUGUUUGCUCACUAAACAACAGCAGAUGUGUGUGUAUUCUUGGAACAAGAGGUUUUUGCAACCUUUUUCUCUCUGCUUAUUUCAUGUAUUACAAAAAGUCUUGCAUUUGCUUAUCAAAUGAGUAGUCCAAAGUAAGUGAAACAGACAUGCAAUAAUAUGACUGACCAUGCAGCCUGUCUCUCAGAUGCUUUGUAUUUUAUGGCUGAUGUCUAUAGCUGUUUAAUAGAGAUAACAUUAUGUAAAAAUAUAGUGUUUAAA